CCCUAUGUGACCUACCGCCGUUGCCUCGGCGGGCCGCGCUUACCUGCCCGGUAGCGCGCUACGGGCCCGCCGGUGGACUGCUAAACUCUGUUAUUUAUAAGUAUCUCUGAAUGCUUCAACUUAAUAAGUUAAAACUUUCAACAACGGAUCUCUUGGUUCUGGCAUCGAUGAAGAACGCAGCGAAAUGCGAUAAGUAAUGUGAAUUGCAGAAUUCAGUGAAUCAUCGAAUCUUUGAACGCACAUUGCGCCCAUUAGUAUUCUAGUGGGCAUGCCUGUUCGAGCGUCAUUUCAACCCUUAAGCCCUGCUGCUUAGUGUUGGGAGUCUAGGUCCCAGGGCCUAGUUCCUCAAAGUUAUUGGCGGAGUUGGGGUAUACUCUGAGCGUAGUAGUGUUCUUCUCGCUUUUGCAGUAGCCCUGGCGGCUUGCCGUAAAACCCCUAUAUCUUAGUGGUUGACCUCGAAUCAGGUAGGAAUACCCGCUGAACUUAAGCAUAUCA
rnacentral:rRNA from 1 species